UACGGAAGGUGCAAGCGUUGCUCGGAAUCACUGGGCUUAAAGGGCGCGUAGGCGGAUUUGCAAGUCCGUGGUGAAAUCCCACAGCUCAACUGUGGAACUGCCUCGGAUACUGUGAGUCUCGAGGGUGGUAGGGGUAUGCGGAACUAUCGGUGGAGCGGUGAAAUGCGUUGAUAUCGAUAGGAACUCCGGUGGCGAAGGCGGCAUACUGGACCACAUCUGACGCUGAGGCGCGAAAGCCAGGGGAGCAAACGGG
rnacentral:rRNA from 1 species